UUAUUUGAGUUAAGCAGUGCAAUUCGCUGUGUAAAGACCAGUAGCAAAGGCCACUGCCUUCCCCGGGACAGGGCGUGUGUUGUACUUUCAGCCGCUCUGCCGGGGGCCUCCCGUGCCCCGUGUGUGCCCGGGAGAUGACGCUGUCCCCGCAACCCCGGCCCGCAGGCGGCAGCUCCGCUGUGCCCGGAGGCGGAACUCGGCCCGCGACGGGCCCCGACCGCCUGCUCCCGCCGCCUCCGGCAGGCGGAGCCCUCGGCCCGGCCGUGAGGGGAGCGCUGCGGUGAGCCCCGGGACCGGCCGAGGCCGAGCCCCGGCCGUGAGGGGAGCGCUGCGGUGAGCCCCGGGACCGGCCGAGGCCGAGCCCCGGCCGUGAGGGGAGCGCUGCGGUGAGCCCCGGACCGGCCGAGGCCGAGCCCCGGCCGUGAGGGGAGCGCUGCGGUGAGCCCCGGGACCGGCCGGGCCCCGGCUGUGCAGGUGUCCCGGUGCGCUGCGGUGCCAGGGGCUGUGAGAUACCAUGGCAGUAGCACACGCAACAGCCAGCCCGCUGCUCCGGAGGGAAUGACAGCUUCCGAGCCAUCCAGCAGGGACUGAGGGUCCCUCCUACACACAGAGGCAGUCCUGCUCCACCGGGAAGCCAAAGAGCUGAACCUCAAGUCAAAAUUAAAGAGGUCAGGUGCUGAAUCAGGACCUUAUUAAAAGUGAGCAGGCAUCUUCAGCUGCUAUUUCUGCUGCCCUGUCAUUGUGGUUUUAUCUACUGCCAGUCUUUGACUAUCUCAAGUAACCAAGCAUCAGCACUGGUGACAGAUGAUCAGGAAUUAGAGGGCUUCUUUCCAGCGGCUUUACAGGAUACAGAAGAACUGUAGGAGGGUUUUCAGCUUCAGAGCCACAGCUGGACUGCAGCCAAGUAAUGGCAAGUGAGAUUGUUCCUACCCUGAGAAGAAAAAGUGUGCAGAGCCUGUGCAGUCACUCAUUAGUGUGUGUCUCUUGCUGACACAAACCAGGGCAUGCAGGCACUUCUCAAGUACACCAAGAGAAACAAGGUGUCUCUUGCAGUCACCAAAAAUGCCAUGCCUUUUUGCAACUGGUGAUGCAAGCAAAGCUCACCUGUGAAAGGACCACUAGAAUUAAGACCUAAAAACUGAAGCAAUACAAUUUUUGUUCUCCUCUUUUA